rnacentral:rRNA from 1 species
AGCCUGCUCUAGCCCAACCACAACUUGCCACCAAACACACUGAGAACUCACUUUACCACCAAACUAAAACAUUACCUCAACUUAGUAUAGGCGAUAGAAAAGAUAAUCUUGGCGCGAUAGAGACCUGUACCGUAAGGGAAAGAUGAAAUAACAAUGAAAAGCCAAGCAGUAAACAGCAAAGAUCAGCCCUUGUACCUUUUGCAUCAUGAUCUAGCAAGAAUAACCAAGCAAAGCGAACUUAAGCUUGCCCUCCCGAAACCCAAGCGAGCUACUUGCAAGCAGCUACCUAUGAGCAAACCCGUCUCUGUGACAAAAGAGUGGGACGACUUGCUAGUAGAGGUGAAAAGCCAACCGAGCUGGGUGAUAGCUGGUUGCCUGCGAAACGAAUCUAAGUUCCCCCUUGACUCCUUUUCCCCACGGACACUUAAUCUAGCCCCCAUGUAACAGGUCAAGAGCAAUUUAAAGGGGGUACAGCCCCUUUAAAAAAGAACACAAUCUCCCCCAGAGGAUAAUUACACAGCCAUCUAACCAAGCUGUAGGCCCUCAAGCAGCCACCAACAAAGAGUGCGUCAAAGCUCACCACAUAAAAAUCUAAAAAUAACCUGACUCCCUCACCACCAGCGGGCUAACCUAUCACAUAUAGGAGAAUCAAUGCUAAAAUGAGUAACUAGGGAUGCCUCCCUCCCAGCGCAAGCUUACAGCUCUAUUAUUAACGAACCAUCAACUAAUAUCUUAACUUAAACAAGACCAAGAUAUUAAAUCUGCUCGUUACCCCGACCCAGGAGCGCACGCCGGAAAGAUUGAAAUCUGUAAAAGGAACUCGGCAAACCCAAGGCCCGACUGUUUACCAAAAACAUAGCCUUCAGCUCACCAAGUAUUGAAGGUGAUGCCUGCCCAGUGACACAACGUUUAACGGCCGCGGUAUCCUAACCGUGCGAAGGUAGCGCAAUCAAUUGUCCCAUAAAUCGAGACUUGUAUGAAUGGCUAAACGAGGUCUUAACUGUCUCUUACAGAUAAUCAGUGAAAUUGAUCUUCCUGUGCAAAAGCAGGAAUAAAUACAUAAGACGAGAAGACCCUGUGGAACUUAAAAAUCAGUAGCCACUACAUAUAAACUAAAACCUACCAGGCCCACUACUCCUAAAAUGCUGGCCUACAUUUUUCGGUUGGGGCGACCUUGGAGUAAAACAGACCCUCCAAAAACAAGACCACACCUCUUAACCCAGAGCAACCCCUCAACGUGCCAAUAGUGACCAGACCCAAUAAAAUUGAGCAAUGGACCAAGCUACCCCAGGGAUAACAGCGCAAUCUCCUCCAAGAGCCCGCAUCGACGAGGAGGUUUACGACCUCGAUGUUGGAUCAGGACAUCCUAAUGGUGCAGCCGCUAUUAAGGGUUCGUUUGUUCAACGAUUAACAGUCCUACGUGAUCUGAGUUCAGACCGGAGCAAUCCAGGUCGGUUUCUAUCUAUGAUAAACUUCUCCUAGUACGAAAGGACCGGAGAAGUGAGGCCCAUACCAUAGGCAUGCCUCCCCCCAAGUAAUGAGCCCAACUAAAUUACCAACAAGGUCACCCACACCCCCUCCUAGAAAAGGACA